GGGUCAUAGGACUGCACUCUCCUACUCUGACAUGUUUGUAGUGUCUUGUCUGCUAGAGGGUCGAGCCCUUAACCUGCCACAUAUUAUGAUUCACUCUAUAGCAGACUCCCUUAGGCUGAGUCGAGGUUGUCUCCCCUUUGGCCGUCAUCUCACUCUUCUUCUUCGAGCUCUAGGGGUUGACCCAGGUACCGAGUAUGCUUUACCCUUGUCCAGUGAGUAUACCCCCUACACUGAGGCUACCCUCUACCACAUGGGUUUGACUAGGAGAGGCAAUGUUUUUUAUAAUUCUAGGAGAGAUUUUGCAGCCCGCAGAGCAGCACAUGCAGCAGCAC
rnacentral:lncRNA from 1 species